CACAGGGAUGGAACCCACGUCUCUUGCAUUGGCAAGUGGAUUCUUUACCCAUCAUUGAGUUGGCUUUGUAAUAUUUAUCUUGCAGCCAUUUAUGUCAGCAGUUGACAAAAAAGCCAGUUGUUUUUUAAGGCCAAUCCCUCCUGCCAAAAAUCUACAUAAUCUUCAUAUAAGAGAAGGCCACACCUUUUUCUUCUCUGUGACCCCAUUAUACAGGCUUGGAAUGAAGAUUAGAAGUCAUUACAUCAUGAGAUAUUUUGACAGCUGAAAAUAUGUCAUGGAUGUUUGAGCCUGAAUUAAUCAGCAGGGGCGAACAAGAAACCCAAAGGACACACGUGGGACAACCAGAGCUGAGAAGACAUCAGCAAAGAACACCCAGGGAUGCAGAGACCCAACAAGGUGGAGGACACCUCAAGAGAAGUCAAGGAGGAGCACGUGUGUGAGAGAAGACCAGAGUCUAGUUUCCCUACACUCAGUCUCCAUCAUGGAAGGAUGUGGACAGAAACCAUCUUGGUGGAGAAUUGACAUGCUGAGUUGCCUAAUGGGAGCCUUAGUUACUAUGAUUUAACAAGACUGACUUUUUCUCAAGAGUAAGAUCCCAUAAUAUAAAAUACA